UACGUAGGGUGCGAGCGUUAAUCGGAAUUACUGGGCGUAAAGCGUGCGCAGGCGGUUGUGCAAGACAGAGGUGAAAUCCCCGGGCUUAACCUGGGAAUGGCCUUUGUGACUGCACGGCUAGAGUGUGUCAGAGGGGGGUAGAAUUCCACGUGUAGCAGUGAAAUGCGUAGAGAUGUGGAGGAAUACCGAUGGCGAAGGCGGCCAGCUGGGCCAGAUCCGACACUGAGGCGCGGAAAGCCGUGGGGAGCAAACAGG
rnacentral:rRNA from 1 species